AAAGUUGCUUUCUUUUCACCUAAAGCUUAUGUUGAUAGAAUAAAUGAAAAAAAAAAAAACAUCUCUACACUUUUGUAAGUUGCGUUGUGCUAGCGUCCUAGUGAUUAGGGAACUAAGUAUCACCAAGAAAAUUCACAUCAAUUCAAACAUAGUUAUCAAUCGUGGUCCGAGCCUUAAUCCAACUAAGAAAUAGAGUGGAUGAGUCACUGGUACAACCAGUGGAUUAGUAGUGCAACUAAUGAGUUAUUAAAAAAAUUAACUAAAUAUCACAUUUAUUAAUUAAUUUUUAAUUUUUAAAAUUUAACUAAAACUUGAAAAAUGAUAAAAAAAAAAUUGCAUAUAA
rnacentral:misc_RNA from 1 species